rnacentral:sRNA from 1 species
AUGGUACGUGCUUCGUGUUGUUGUUGUUGUUGUUUUUUUUUUCUCCUCUCUCAUAUGUAAUUUUCAGUUUCUGAAUUUCCGGUUCAAACUUUUUGUGAAUUCGUUUUCUUCUUUUUCAUGGUUUAGAUCUUGGACAUUGUUUGUUCUGAAACGCUUUCAUAAUUUUCUUUUUAUAAUUAUCAUUUUACAAUUUUUAUUGGAUUUGUCUUUGCUAUGAAUCAAGCGUAUAUGAUGCAUUUCUGAGAAGUUUUUUUUUUUUUUUUGGAAAAUAUGAGUUAAAAAUUUCUCCCUCUAGAUUUUCUUUCUAUUUAUACAAUUUUAGUAUUAAAAUGUAAAUACUAAAAUUUAUUUCUAUUUAUGAUUUUUUUGUAUGUAAACGGUUUCUAAAUUAGUUUUACUAUUUUUAUUUUAUUAUUUAAAAAAAAAUAGUUUUCAGAUUUUCUUUUUCUAAUUAUGUUUUAUUGGGGUGUCAUUUUUAUAGGAUUAAAAAAAAAAAAAAAACAAAGAAAUUUAUUGGGGCUUCAUAUUUCAUGUAAUCACAAAGCUAAAGAGACGUGUUGAUGGUUUCAAACGAGACUGUUUGAAUAUUUGACUAUGUAUGGAUAAGAUUGACAGUUGCCGUUGAAAAAUAUUUGGACUGGAAGGAGUCUUUGUAGGGUCAAUUUGCUAAUUUAUAGAGGGAUUGGUUUACCGAUUUUUUGAUUCUGGCUGCGCCAUGAUUAGUUCGUGUGAAUCUUUGACUCUCUAAUACCUCUAGUUUUUGAUUGAAUGCAAGUGUGAAUAUGAUUAAUAUGUCCAGAAUAUUUUAUCGAUUCCAUUUUGAUCGCCAUCAAAGACCCAUAUAUGAGUGUCUACUUCCUUCUAGUUCGUAGAUUUUUGCAUGAAAAGCAUAUUUUGCAGCGGAAGUUUGAUAAUUUUCUGAUGAUGAUAUGAAUUGAUGGAUUAGAGAUUAUAUUUUAGUUUGGGGUCUUAGUUAGAUUCAUUACCUGGGAAAUAAUUUGAUGAAAGCUUAGUGUAUAUUCUUGAAGCAGUUUCCACAUUUUGGUUGAUAAAGAUAAAUGUGGAUACUCUUGUCACAUUUUGUUUUGGGUGCAAUCAAUGAAUGUUUUAUUUGAAUUCCACAAUUCAAUUUGAGUGCACUGAUCGAUUGGCUAUUAGCGACAGUGUUAGGCCAUGCUAUGGUUGUAGUUUUUUGAACAACAAUAAUGGUAUAUUUCAUUUUCAUCAUGUAAUUUAAGUGCAAUUAGUGCAUAUUGUAUGGUAAUAGCAUUUAUGGGUUAUUGGUUAAUUAGGACCUGAUCUUUGUUAGGUCAUUCCUGAUUUGAGUGCUUUACUUUAUUUUUACUUUUGACAGGUAGAAGGAAGGGUUCGUUUGUCAAAAGAGGCACAAAAUGGGUUAGAAUUUCUGAAGCGUAAAAGGCUUCAGCGAAUGAAAUCAGAAUCUGUCGCUGGGACUGUAAGCGUCAUGAACACGAUGACUAGGAGUGGUGGAGAUGCUUUGAGAGCUUCCUCAUCAUGUGGUGUGACGCUACAUGGUAAUGCAGAUGUCUUUUCAAAGCGCAAGGUGGACAAAUUUGAUACGAGUGAUCUAGAAUGGACACAGAAAAUUCCAGAGUGUCCUGUAUAUACUCCUACAAAGGAGGAGUUUGAGGAUCCUUUGGUAUUUUUGCAGAAGAUAGCUCCAGAAGCUUCAAAACAUGGUAACUUUCCCUUUAAUUAUUUGUUCUGUGUUGAAUCAAGCUUCUUGUGGGAUUUUGUUUUAAUAUUUUGAAAUUACUAUUGCCAUAAAUUGAGCUUUUUGAGUUUGAUACACCACAUGUGGUCAUAGACUCGUAUGCAAACCGACAGAUGCUCCAUUUACAGUGGUGCUAUAUGUGUUUGGAACAGCUCUGUGUAAUAAACAAUGCUAUAUGUGGUCAUGUUAACCCAAAAUAUAUCAUGUUUAGGCCUUGAGAUGCAUUAUUUUGAUUCAGUAGUAAUUUAAAGUAAACAUUUUUUCAUUUUCAUAUAUUAUUUCAUUGGUAAAGUAACCUAUUCCAGAGUAAGUUUAAUGUUUAAUUUUUUUGAUAAGUAGAGUAAGUUUAAUGUUUACUAGAAUGAGUUUUGGUCUCCCACUUGUAAUUUCCAAAUUGAUUAGGUUGUAGCAUGCAGGAUGUGGAGGUUAGUUGGUUUAGUUUUUAUAGGGUCUUUUGGAGUUAAAACUCAACUUAGUAUGUACUUAAUUAUCUGCCUAUAUUGAACUUUACUCUGCAGCUUUAAGUAUGUACAUGGGCAUCCACUCUGAAGGCCUUGAGCUUUCAGAGUAUUGGUAUGAUUGGCUUUACUCAUUUUUUCAAUGCUUGCUGAUUGCCGGAAACUUAUCACCUUGUUCACAUUACUAUGCAAGAGAUUGGUUCUAUCUUUGGAUGGGAACCUUUUUGAAAAUUGUUAGUGAAUUCUAUGUUGAGAGCUUGGGUUUUAGUAAUUAUAACUCUUAAUCAAGUUCUGCUCAUGAUGAAGAAUACAUGGGGAUGUUUUACUGAAACAUAUGGAAAAUCAGAUGGAUAGAAGCCAUACAAUUCAGUCAAUUUUGAAUAAUUGUCCCAAUUAUAGAUUUAUACAGACAUAAUAGCUUUCAUAGUCUCCUUGAUGUUAUAAAUAAUACCACGCAGGGGAGCGGUGGCUGCAGAAUAUUUCAGGUUAAAAAUUUUAAUUCUCAGUUUCCCCUCCUUUUUAAAUUUUGAAGUUAAAAAGCUAACACCUGACUCACUGCACAUUUUGAGCAAUACCCAGUGGCCAGAUCUUCCUUUUUCUGAAAGUGCUAUAUUACACUCUGGACGUGGGUUAACUUGUGAUUUUCUUUUUCAAUAUAAAAUUUAAUUGUAAUUUAAAAUUGGGUAUUCAAGCCCACUCUUUAUUUUUAAUUUGUUUACAAACAUUCUUUUUUAAUUUUCCUAAUUGUGUUUGCAUUUUGAAAGUGCCUUGUUUGUUGCGAUUACAAAGUCCUAGAAUUCAUUAGAAUUAGCACUUAGGCAGGGAUAUCUGGGAUAACAACAAUUCUUAACUCUUAGAUAUAAAGUAUAGAUUAUUAUUCAAAUAUGUUUUGGCAUUUGUUUUCCUGCCAUCUCUGGUGUUUUCUGAUGGAAAUUAUAUAUAUAUAUAUAUAUAUUUCUAACCAUUUCUUUUGGUUGCACUGGCUGCUUCUCAUUAUCUAAUACUUCUGACAACUCAGAUUAUUUUUCUCAAGAAUGGAAUUUUGACACACUUCACCACCUUUUUUAUAUUGACUGAAAUCAGGUAUAUGCAAGAUUAUUUCCCCAUUGAGUGCUUCUGUUCCAGCUGGGGUUGUACUGAUGAAGGAGAAAUCUGGAUUCAAGUUUACAACUAGAGUACAGCCUCUUCGUCUUGCGGAGUGGGACUCUGAUGACAGGGUCACCUUUUUCAUGAGUGGAAGGUGAGUUCCUUUACUAUAUUUGAGUAUAAUAUUUUCACUGGCUUAUUCUUCUUGUUUUGAGUAAGUGUAAACUUUUCAGAAAUUAUACAUUUCGUGAUUACGAGAAAAUGGCGAACAAGGUUUUUUCUCGUAGAUAUUGUAGUGCGGGAUGUCUUCCUGCUGCAUAUAUGGAAAAAGAAUUUUGGCAAGAAAUUGCUUGUGGAAAGACAGAAACUGUUGAAUAUGCAUGUGAUGUUGAUGGUAGUGCCUUUUCGUCUUCUCCCAUUGAUCAGCUUGGAAAUAGCAAGUGGAAUUUGAAGGUUUUGAUUCUCUAAUAACUUUAUUUCUUUCUGUACUUGAAGAGAGGUUUUUUUUUGCUUAAUUUUAGUAGGAGAGAAAUUGUUGUAGAAUAACUAGAACUGGCUAAGUUUGUGAAUGGCUUAUUAUAAUUCUCCUUCGUCAUGUAAACUGAUUUUCUGACUUGAAUGAUGAUUAGGUGCUCAUGUUUUUAUUUCUAGUCUGUUUACUUUUCAAAGCAAUAUACUUAGGGGCAUUGACCUUUGUUUUAUAGGAAAUGUCAAAACCUCUCCAAUUAAGACUAUAUGGCAUAAUAAUCUGUUUGUCGAUGUAGUCCACUCUGAAAUUCCCAUAGGAUGAACAACUUCAAGGAAGAGCAAGAGAACAUGCUUAUGGCCUUAGUAACUGACUUGAAGAGCAUAGCUUUUCAAACUUCUAUGUUUUUAGCAAUUUGAUGUCUUUGAUUGUUUUUAAUCACUGGUUAGAGUUGUUUCAUGCCAAUUAAGGAGAAAUUAAUGUCAAGAAAAGAACAGAGGAGUUUGUAGAAAACUGAAAAGAGAGAAUUAAUACUAAUCAGUGUGGUCUUUUUUUUUUUUUAGUGGGUACUUUUUCCUCACUAAGAUGACCGAAAUACUUGCAAGAGGACUUUGUAAUGUCUUAUAUUUAUCUAUCUCUUUUUCUUCUGUGAUUUUCAGAAACUGUCACGGUUGCCCAAGUCUGUUUUGCGUCUUCUGGAUAGAGGAAUUCCGGUAUGCAGAUAUUAAUUUUCUACUUUCUUGAAAAUUCUGCCUUAUUCACAUAAUUUGUAUUCAUCCACGUAAAUUGCAUUUAUUGCAGGGAGUAACUGAUCCCAUGCUUUACAUUGGAAUGCUGUUUAGUAUGUUUGCUUGGCAUGUGGAAGAUCAUUAUUUGUACAGGUAUGAGUUUAUAUAUAUAGUUUCAGUGGAUCCAACAUCUCUGCCCUCUAUGCUAAGAAAUAUAAUUAUAUUUAUAUUUCAUUUAUUUGCUUUGUUUUUGUGUUUUGGCAGUAUAAAUUAUCAUCACUGUGGGGCAGCAAAAACUUGGUAUGGCAUUCCUGGCCAUGCGGCUUUAGACUUUGAAAAGGUGGUCAGGGAGCAUGUCUAUACUCAUGAUAUUCUAUCAACUGAUGGGGAGGAUGGAGCUUUUGAUGUCCUUUUGGGGAAAACUACUCUGUUUCCGCCGAAUAUUUUGUUGGAACAUGGUGUCCCUGUUUACAAGGCUGUGCAGAAGCCUGGGGAGUUCAUAAUUACCUUCCCAAGAGCAUAUCAUGCUGGAUUUAGUCACGGUUAGAUUUUUUUGAAUGUUUGGUUAUUCCACAGAUUAAAAGUAGCAUAAUAAUAGAUUCCCUCUCUUGAUUAUUAUGUUAGUAUUUUGAAAUGUACUUAUAUUGUUAUGGAAACAUAGGUUUCAAUUGCGGUGAGGCUGUGAACUUUGCAAUUGGUGAUUGGUUUCCCUUGGGGGCUGUAGCUAGCCGACGCUAUGCACAUCUUAACAGGGUGCCUCUGCUUCCUCACGAAGAACUUUUGUGCAAAGAAGCAAUGAUUGUCUCAAUGAGUGUAGAAGUUGAAGAUUUGGAUUAUUCAUCUGCAGACUUGGUUUCUCAUCGUUGGAUUAAGAUCUGUUUUGUAAAUUUGAUGCGUUUCCAGCAUUGUGCCUGCUGGUCUCUAAUGAAAUCAAGGGCUUGCAAUGGUCUUUCUUCAUUUUCUCAUGAAACCAUUCUAUGCAGCAUUUGCAAACGUGAUUGUUAUGUAGCUUAUAUCAGCUGCAACUGUUACAUGCACCCUGUCUGCCUUCGCCAUGGUAUGCUUUUCUUGAUUUACUGCUUCAUCGACUAACUUUUUUAAGUUGAUAUGUUUGUUUAGAGACUGGUUGUCUCAUAUUUAAUUUUGAAUGGGUCUUCUAAUUUUUUUAAAAGCAUUUAUGGGACAAAUACAUCUUCGUCAAUGGGGUCAUGAUAGAAACUGAUGAUUGAGCUAGAUGAAAAUUUGGAAAUCAUGACAUACUUUUGUUUAAGAUUUCUAUAAUUAUUAUGGUUCCUCUGAAUUUCCCAUUCAUUAAUCAUUAUCAUGGAUAUGCUUUAUUACUUUAUUUAUUAUUUUAUUUCCCUACAAAAGUUAUAUGCAAAACACCGAAUUAAUUCAAUUUUUAUUAGACAUCCAGACAGAUUUUAAAGAAAAAAAAAAAUUGUCUUCCUGAUUGCUUUCCUGAUUGCCCAUCCCAGAUAUUGAGUCUCUCGACUUCUCGUGUGGGAGAAAUCAUACUUUAUUUCUGAGGGAGGAUAUUUCAGAAAUGGAAGCUGCCGCCAAGAAGUUCGAGCAGGAUGGGGGAAUAUUAGAGGAGAUUCAUCGGCAAGCUAGAAGCGGUGAUAACUUGUAUUCAUACCCCCUUUUGUAUAUGUUUCAGAAAGCUGAAAGAGAUGGAUAUUCUCCAUAUUGUGAGAUAGAGUUUGAGGUGAACCCUGAACUUUCUGUCACAACUCAGGAUCGCUCGCAAGAUCUUGAGUGUGUUGCUGAUAGCCAGCCCAUGUUGAGUUUUGGAAAAGGAAGUAUUAGAUCUGAAACAUCUGAAGUUUCCCUUUCUGGUGCUGUGUCAAAUAAUUCUUCUUCAGUAGAGCCUUUUGAGAGCUCGCCUGUGCCAAAAAAUGUAAGAUCUAGCUCUCUGAUUGCUAAAUGUGGCUGACCUAUGUGUUAGCUUAACAAUUUGUGUGGUUUCUUCUGCAUGAGCAGUAAAUUAACUUAAAAUUGAUUUUUGAAGCAAUUAAAGUUCAUUUUCGGUAUUUAUAUUUUCUUAAGCAGGUAAAGAGAAAUUCUAACUUUAAUUCUGGGAAUCCUGGCUCUACAAAUUAUUCUGAAGAAGCUACACGCUACACAUAUGAAACUACUCGAUCCUCCCAGUCCUGUGAUGAAUGCUUGACACUACCAAUAAAUCUUCAUAAAUUUGGGGUAAAGCCUACUGUUGAUCAAGACAGUGAUGAUUCUGAUUCAGAGAUAUUUAGGGUUAAACGCCGUUCUUCACUCAAGGUGGAAAAAAGAGAGGUGAAUGAUGCCAUGCAUGUAAAGCAAUCUGAUCACCAGGUCUGUUUUAGAAAUGUCUUAAUUUCUAUUGUGUGCAUUGGGUGUCAUAAUAUUUAUCAUUAGGUACUGUAACAUCACACUUUUACCUGCUAUAUUGUUGCUGUGUAUUUUUUGUAUAUGUUAUUCUGCUUUAAUAACAAUUAGUUGUUUUACUUUUCCAAGAGCAUCAAGUAGCUUGACAUUGAUUUUUCAAACUAAUUUAUUUUUUUAAUUUUUUUAAUGGUGGUGCCUUUUGAAAUCUGAAUCUUCUUGCCAAGGCUUAUUAACAUUGGUAUUUGUUCCUGUUUCUCACAAUGAGCUCUUGUUCUAUUGCAACGGAAUAAGCCUUUUUCUAAUACAUCUUAUAUAAAUACCUUUUCUCUUUUACUCAAGUAACCCAAUUGGAAAACAAUGUGAAAGCAAAAUUGCAUUAGUUUUGACAACUAUGUCCAAGAUUCAAAACCUAUUUUAUACAGUUGUUCCUUCUUUUGGAAUUCUCAUUCAUAAACAUGCUCCAUUUCUUUCUUUAAAGGUAGGACUAGAGUUAUUUGGAUCUCUAAAACCCUUGUUGUUAAUGCUGUCUCUCUCCAGUUUUUCCCAACUGCAGAGGCUCCAAUUCCUCUCAUUAUGGUGUCAUGAUAACACAGCAUUUUUUUUGCUUUCAGUGACUAUUUGCUGUGUGUACUAAGAUGCAUAAUAAAUACAUUUAGGUAUGAAAAUGUCCUGCAUUGUGUAUUGGGUGUCAUUUGUAAAAGGAAGUUAUAACAACAGCCUUUGUUCCUUUUUUUCCCUCCCCAGUUAGGAUAAUUUGCUUUCUUUUUGGUUUCUACUUUCUAAACUUUGAUUGCCAAUUUAAUGCGCAUUGUUGCCUAUAUGUAAUGUUGCUGAUCUCAUGGACUCUUAAUUAGCUUUCUGUAAGGCUCUGCCAAGGCCUGAUUGCAAAUGUUACUAGUUUCUUUUCUCCUAAAAUCUAAGGGCAGUGGCAAUGUGUGUCAAAUCACUUUUGCAUACUUGAUUUUGAUUAAUGCACAGAACAAUAGACUCGAGACUAUUUCAUCUGCUCAUUGUGACUGUUACUAUUUCUUUUGGAUCCUGUCACACUAUUACAAGUCCAUACUCUUGUAUAUUUUCUGUGAUUUUUAAUCACAGAUGUCUAUUUAUGCUUGCUUUAUAUUUUGUUUUAAUCAUGCCAAUUUGCUCACUGCUGUGGUAUCUUAAUUUAAAUAGGGGCUUAAACGGCUGAAAAAAGUCCAACCUGAUGGGAGGUGUGGGGAAUUGAUGCUGUCUGAUUGCUGCAGAACUGAUGAAUCAAAUUUAAAAAUUUCCACUCGUAAUUCUAAAGAAGCUCCAGACAGUGCUUUGAGGGACAGGUUUGCAAGAGGAAGUUCCGUGCCCAUUACCAUCAAGUAUAAGAAGAUGGCCACCGAGGAAGCAAUAAGUAGACAACAAGAACACAGAAGGGAUAGAUACCAACUUGAGUUGGGAAAGAGCAUGAGGGAACCACCCCCUAUAGAGAUUGGGCCAAAGCGUCUUAAAGUCAGAGGCCCAUCGUCAUAUCUAGGGACAGAGCAGGUUGGAUUGAAGUUUAGAUCACUAGAGUGACAGGAAUUCCAGUUGGCCCGCCUUAGGAGCAUCAUCUUGAGCCUGACUUUGCUAACUUCAUUUUCUCUAAUGGGGUUCUAACAACACAGAUAAUCUGAAGAUUGAUUACGGGGGGGAGCAGCAGUAAAAAAUUAACCAAGAUUAGGAUUAAAAUUUAUAUUCUUUGUGCAAGCCUCAAAUUGAGGCUUGCACUGGUGGUGAUUCUUGGGGUUCUCGGGCCGGGGUGUUUUUCCGUCUUUGGCAGGGGAACCUUCCUGCGUGGUAAAAUUUAGAGAUCUGACAGUGUAUGAUGUAAAUUUGUUUUUAUCACUCAAUUAAUUGUUUUUAGGAAUGUGGGUAUUCCUAUUGGUCUCUCAUGUAAGGUCAGCUCUGCUGCUUCCCAUGCUAGGUUCUUUAUUCUUUUUUGUAGCAGUUGGUCCUUGUACCUUGGACUACUUGAAUAAAAAUCAGUGAAAUGCCUUUUUUCUAUUUCCUGACGAUGUAUGCAGAAUCGCACAAGAACUGCAACAUUGGCUAUGACAGGGAUGUGAUCCCAAAGUUGAUUGAAUUUGGCAUCAUGGUUGUUUUAAUCUUGAAUCAUAUGGAGAGUUGUCUAUUUAUUUAUGUGUGUAUUAAACUAUUAGGGACUUAAAAUCAAUAAAAUACUAUAAUUUUUAUUUGGCAAGUACACAUAUAUAAUAAAAAUAAGAGCAUUUAUGGGAGGGAAUUGGUUGUGAAAAGUUUGUACCAUUAUUACUAUGGCUUUUCUUUAACCAUGUUCACACAUAAAACCUACGUAUUCAACUUUCUUCCACCUCAUUAGACACCAUCAAUACUUACUAAUUUGCAGUUCCUGCAUAUUGUUUAGAAUUUAACAAAGUAGUAUAAGAGAGUGUGUGUGGAUGUUUUGGUUGAAAUUUUAAUUCAUCAUAUGUUGUUAGGUUUUCUUAUUCUUCUUUGCAAAUUCUAAUGCAAAAGCAUAAUGUUCCAUCAUGGAGGCAAAUCUCAUAAUUGCCUAGAUAGGAUAGCAAAGACAACUGCUAAAUUCAAGGCUGCUAAUAAAUUUAACAACUUUGCAGGCUAUUUUUACUCAUGAUCAUUCCAAUGAACAACGUAUCUUUACUCACAAUCACUCUUAACAAUUUUUACUCAUGAUCAUUCCAACGAAUAAUGUAUUUUUACUCAAGAUCAUUCCUAUGAACAAUGUAUGCAAUAACACUUUCUUCUUCUUUUUUCUCUGCCUCACUUUUUUUUUUUUUUUUUUUUAAAUAAUUUUUUUUUCUUAUAUGAUAUAAGGAUGAAGGUAAGAUGAUAUGUACAAUGAAUUUUUCUUUUGAUAAUUUGAUGGUUAUGAUAACAGAAAGAGAAUUUGAAUCUAGGUUCUUCUCAUAAAAAUGAGCAGGCAGUGCCACAAAAUUACAAAAUUCUUGACAUGUUGACAUUUAAGACAUAUCAAAUACAUAUGUAACUUAGAAAUAGGGGGAAAAAAUGUUUGCAUGUUUAUGGUUACAUCUUUUUGCAAUAUUUAUAGCGAGUUGUAAAUUGAUGCUGUCUGAUUGCUGCAGAACUGAUGAAUCAAAUUUAAAAAUUUCCACUCGUAAUUCUAAAGAAGCUCCAGACAGUGCUUUGAGGGACAGGUUUGCAAGAGGAAGUUCCGUGCCCAUUCCCAUCAAGUAUAAGAAGAUGGCCACCGAGGAAGCAAUAAGUAGACAACAAGAACACAGAAGGGAUAGAUACCAACUUGAGUUGGGAAAGAGCAUGAGGGAACCACCCCCUAUAGAGAUUGGGCCAAAGCGUCUUAAAGUCAGAGGCCCAUCGUCAUAUCUAGGGACAGAGCAGGUUGGAUUGAAGUUUAGAUCACUAGAGUGA